CAUGACCGUGGUCACGAUGAAAUCAAUAAUACUUCUUUUUGUCGUGACUCCUCGGUGGCAUCUUCAUCGACGGAAGAUGUCGAAGAUACUCCUCUCCUUCGAUCUUCAUUAAGAUCUAUGCAUGAAGAGUAGAAAGAGGAGUAUAGGAGUCAUACCUGCUACCAUAGUUAUUCGAUCUUGGACUCCGUUGACGGAGGAAGCUUUUUUAUUGAUUAUUGACUGACUUGAUUCGGCC
rnacentral:lncRNA from 1 species